AUGCAACUGAGCCUCCUAAGGACUUCCACCUUUACAGAUCCCCAGUUGAUCCAGAUCAUUUGUUUUAGAAGGGCCUUUUGUGUUCUGUGUCCUUGCAAAUGGGAGUCGGGUCACAGUUCUUUUGUGAUCAACUGUCAGAACCAGCAGGGCAAUAGUCACUCCCCAAAAAAGACUUCAAAUAACAAUAGCCAGUCUGUCUCUUGGAAAGGAGCUGUUUGUUCAUCGGGCAGUACUCCUGACCCCCUGCUCAGAACCUCUGUCUAGUAAACUCAAAAGCAGAGAUUCCAAACCCUUGCUGUGCACCAGAAACAUCAGGGAUUAGAAAAAAAUACUGAUGGCCAGCUACCACUCCCACGCAUUCUGAUUUAACGAGUGUGGGAUGCAACCCGGGCAUUAGGAUUUUAAUAAGGCUCUCUGGGUGAUUCAAGCAUGCAGGGAAGUUUAGGAAUCAUUACUUUAAGGCUCUAUUUGCUUUAAGACAGCUCCAGCUCUGGAACCUCUGUGUAUGCUGGCCUCUCAAGAAACUUCCCCAAAGUCCCAGCAGCCGUGAGUCCGCUACUUCAACAAGGACAGCUGCACGGAUCCAAAGAUCUAGAUUGUAGCCAUCUCAGCCCAGCUCUCCUCUCCUUCAAGACAGGCCUGCAGGCAGCCUAUCACCAAAAAUAUCAGGACAAGGCAUGAUGGCCUCCCAGAGGGAACUGGGGCUUCCUGCUUGUAAGCUGACUGAAGAGGAGAGGCCUUACCAUCCCAAGCAAAGCUGGCUUCCCAAGCAAAGUUCCCAUCACAGAAUCCUACCUUUCUUCGGAAGAAGGUAAUUCUUCGAUGAAGGGGUACAAGAAGUCAGUAAAAGCAGAUCUCCAUUCAUUGCGCUAUUCAUUUCGGUCUCCCUGCCAGAGACAAUGUUCUGCCCAGUGACACUGUGAUAUAAUAUAAUGAGAGCCUCCUGUCAACUUAUGCACUAAAGCCCCUCAAGGAGGGUUCAGAAUGGAUGGACCUCCUCAUACAGUGGAUUAUGUUACAGCGAGAAGGAAUAAAGUUGCCACUGCCACGAGAGGCCAUGAUUCUCACAUCAGUUCCUCUGUAAAACAGACUGAUCAGUAAGCAGGAAUGAAAACAAUAAUAAAGGAUUAUUUUGAUGGUGUUAAGGGGAGAGAUAAUAAGAUAUCUCUGGAAAGUUGUGGAAGACCAAGUCCUAAUGAGGGGUGGGAGAAGAUGAUAGAGGCUCCACGGAACUCAAGACACAUGAAUUUCAAAUGCCCAGCCAAGAUUUGGACAUGUACAGAUAAUUCCCCAAACUCUUCAAAAAAUGACAAUUGAAUUUACCAUUCUUUAAAUGAAUGCUUCAGUACCUCAGCAAUCACUAAGAGCCCUUCAGUAUUGGAAAUUAAAAUAAUUAAUGACA